rnacentral:lncRNA from 1 species
CCUGACCAUUCAUCUUGGGAGCACUAUUUGAUAGCAUGGAGAGACUCUUCCCUUUCCCCCCUCCCCCACCACUUCCCAGUACAUUUUGGAUUGAGUACAUCUCAGAAGUGAAGCCCUUCUUUCUGUAUGAUGAUAAUGGGCAUGAUCAAAAUGUAUUUCCUUCUGACUGAAAGCCAGAAGAGUUUUGCUUCAGUGGAAUUCACUGUCUUUAGGAGAAAAGAUGUGAUCAGAAUAGGAAUGCUGAAUUCAAGAUACCUUUUCUGCUGGACCAGUGAUAAAAUUCCAAUGAUCAUUGGCAGAAGGCUCAGCACUUCUUGUGGCACACAUGGUGAGAUGGAUGGAUGCUGUUACUGGAAUGCAUCUUCAAAAUUUCUAAAGAUCUGUGAUUUCAACCAUUUGGUUGGAAAUAGACUCAUAGGGCCACAGUCUUCUGUAUUAACUCUUUUAUGGGUACUUUGGAUAAAGUGA